AAACAGUGUACUUGAUUGGUGAUGUAUUAAGUGAAUUUGGUGGAAAAAAAUUACCUUCAUUGAAAGAGAAGAUGUUGAAGAUAUGGAUGUUGAUGUAAGCGAUGAAAAUAAUAACUACAGUAAUAGUGAUAACAAUAAUGAAGAGAACAUUGAUAUCAAUUAUAAUAACCCUCGCAGUUUCGGAAUUACUAUGAAAUCACAGUGAAUUCACAGUGAAAUCGUCUUCACCGUAAAUCUACUGUGGGUUCACGGUAAUUUCAUAGUGAAUUCACAGUGAUUUUGUGCCAUUUCGUCACUAUGGUUUAGUGGUGGUAUCACUGUAGAUUCAUGGUAGUCUCACAGAGAUAACACCGUGAGUUCACAAUAGUUCCACAGUGAAUUCAUAGUAAUUUCACUGUGAUUUCACCGUCGUUUUACCAUGAUUUAACCGUGACUUCAGAAUGAUCUGAUAGUUGUAACACCGUUAGUUCAUGAUAGAGUUUCACUGUGAAUUCAUAGUAAUUUCACUGUGAACUCAUUGGGUCCGGG